rnacentral:rRNA from 1 species
CAAUAGCGUAUAUUAAAGUUGUUGCGGUUAAAAAGUUCGUAGUUGGGUUUCUGUUGAGGACGACCGGUCCGCCCUCUGGGUGAGUAUCUGGCUCAGCCUUGGCAUCUUCUUGGAGAACGUAACUGCACUUGACUGUGUGGUGCGGUAUCCAGGACUUUUACUUUGAGGAAAUUAGGCGUACGCCUUGAAUACAUAGCAUGGAAUAAUGAGAUAGGACCUUGGUUCUAUUUUGUUGGUUUCUAGAGCUGAGGUAAUGAUUAAUAGGGAUAGGUGGGGGCAUUCGUAUUUAAUUUUCAGAGGUGAAAUUCUUGGAUUUAUUAAAGACGGACUACUGCGAAAGCAUUUGCCAAGGAUGUUUUCAUUGAUGAAGAACGAAAGUUAGGGGUUCGAAGAUGAUUAGAUACCAU